GACGAACGCUGGCGGCGUGCCUAAUACAUGCAAGUAGAACGCUGAAGGAGGAGCUUGCUUCUCUGGAUGAGUUGCGAACGGGUGAGUAACGCGUAGGUAACCUGCCUGGUAGUGGGGGAUAACUAUUGGAAACGAUAGCUAAUACCGCAUAAUAGCAGUUGUUGCAUGAUAACUGUUUGAAAGGUGCAAUUGCACCGCUACCAGAUGGACCUGCGUUGUAUUAGCUAGUUGGUGGGGUAACGGCUCACCAAGGCGACGAUACAUAGCCGACCUGAGAGGGGGAUCGGCCACACUGGGACUGAGACACGGCCCAGACUCCUACGGGAGGCAGCAGUAGGGAAUCUUCGGCAAUGGACGGAAGUCUGACCGAGCAACGCCGCGUGAGGGAAGAAGGUUUUCGGAUCGUAAAGCUCUGUUGUAAGAGAAGAACGAGUGUGAGAGUGGAAAGUUCACACUGUGACGGUAGCUUACCAGAAAGGGACGGCUAACUACGUG
rnacentral:rRNA from 1 species